GUCAGUGUAGCAUAGUGGUUUGAGUGUUGGAAUACUACUCUGGAGACCAGGGUUCAAAUCCCCACUGAGC